GUCUGUCAGACAGUACGUGCGCGUGCCCAGUGGUUUGUUUAUUUAUUGUGUAGGUAGGGAAUUAUAAAGAAUAUUCCCGGUUUUUCCAAUGGCAGAUGUUCGCUUCUACAAGAUCGCUGGGAGAAUCACACAUUAUUCACAGGUUUCCAAAAGCAUUCAAGUGGGCUGGCAAGAGAGUGUAACCAUGGUGAUGGGGUAAUGGAGUGAUCACCGUAGCAACAUGGCUUGACAGCUGACGGGGCACUUGAGCACUGAGGCAGAGCCAGGCGGUCACUUUGGAAAAUAAGCUCUGGAUAUCCACACUGUUUCAGAGAAGGGGUGAAAAAGGCUGAAUCAAAUCACAGACAUUCACUGGAGAAGAAGUGGGCAGGACAGACAGACCCAGAGCUCUGAUGCCCAGUGGUGUAAUGCAAAUCUUGGACCCCCGGGGGGAAUCGUGAUGUGAGGCAUCAGGUGGUCACGUCAUAAUAUUUGUUUUGCUGAUGAAUUAGAAUAAGGACAAUUUAACCCUGCUCUAUCCUUUCUGUGCUGUAAUAUUUGACCAUUUAGAAGAAGUUAUCGGCCAGGAAAAUAAUAAAAGUUAACCUCUAGAAUUUUAAUAUCGGUGCAUUCCUACUGAUGUAAGGUGGUCUUUUUAAGAAAUGCCAGUUAUGUACACUAUCCUUUUAAACUUUGAGGCCUGUAAGAUUUUUUUUUUUAUGUUUUGAAAGACGUCUCUAAUGCUCA